CUCUAUUCCAGCAGCCGCGGUAAUACGUUCCCGGGUCUUGUACACACCGCCCGUCACACCACGAGAGUUUACAACACCCGAAGCCGGUGGGGUAACCCGCAAGGGAGCUAGCCGUCGAAGGUGGGGUAGAUGAUUGGGGUGAAGUCGUAACAAGGUAGCCGUAUCGGAAGGUGCGGCUGGAUCACCUCCUUUCUAAGGAAAUACCCGAACCCGAUGAGGUUCGGAUAAACUUGGCAGUUUAUCGCUUACUCGUUGUCAGUUUUGAAAGAUCAAUUCAAUCCCGUUGUCAUAAAGGGUUCGGAAGAUUAUCUUUCAGUUUAGCUAUCCGUUUGGUGGCGAUGGCGGAGGGGAACCACGCGUUCGCGUAGCGAACACGACCGUUAAGCCCUCCAGCGCCGGUGGUACUUAGACCGCAGGGUCUUGGGAGAGUAGGACGUCGCCAAGCGGGUGUCAUGUUACACCUUCGCAGCAGCCGCAAGGCUCAGCUGUGAUUUACUUUGCACCUUGGAAACUGGAUAACGAAA
rnacentral:misc_RNA from 1 species